AAGAUAGCGGCAUGGUGACAAAAAAAUCUGUAGAAAUUCCCAGAAAACACUGUAGCAGAAUUCGCUACAGUGAAUUCUGGCUAGUUUGCUGAAUUCGGCUCUAGGGAAAUUGUGGUGGUGAAGCAGAAAUUCAACACUGUUUUCAAACACUAUUGCAAGGAAAAUUUGGAGAAGUAUUCGACACAUUCUGGGAGGCAAAGGUUGAAAGGUAAUUAUGAGAAAAUCAUUGCAAGGUUAUGAAUUUGAUUAAUGGACUUCAUGUAGCAAAUUGGUUUGAUGCAAGUGUGCAAUUUAAUUUAAAAAUCAGUAAUUUUGGGUAGUGUUUUUGGAGCAGUAGAAAGAAAAAGUGGAAGUAAAGAACAAUAGAUAGAAGAAGGAAAUAUAUUCAUUUGGUUAUAUGCAAAAGUAAGAUUACGAGGUGACUUACAAUCGUAGGAGAAUACGAAGUAGAGGAUUGGAAGAGACUCUUCACCAAAGAAGAAAGGGAAAAGAGAAGAUUGAUGCAAGCUAAUUUAUACAAGUGUUUCUUCUUUUAAUGUUAAAGUUACCUUUAUUAGUAAGUUUACUUUUAGAGGUAUGAAAUAUUUUAGUCUUGUAUUAGUUGGUUGCUGUAGUGGCUCUGUAAGUUUAUAAUUGAAGUAUUUAAAUUAUUAGAUGCUUCAUUUGUUGUAUUAAAUGAUAUUUACAAGAUAUGUUGUAUAGAUCUGAAAUGAAAUGAACUUAAUGAGAUGUUUGGUGUUGGAAAUGUUAUGAUUAUUCUUGUUAUACUCUACAGUAUUGUUAAGGGGUACUGUGGGGUGUUACACACGAGGAUGAAUGACCUAAGCUCAGCUUGAGAUUUUUCAAGCAGAUCUCUGACCAUGAAAUUUAGCAAACAAAUAUUUAAGGACCCAGUUACUGUUCUCUGCUUUUUAAGAUGAUCUGGAAAAAACCCCGUGAGAGAGAUUUUAUCCCUUGGUUGAUUUUGACGAUAAUAAAUAUUUAAUGUGUUUUUGUUUAACGGGUCUAUAUAAUAUGUGAAGGUAUUAAGAAACCCAUCUGCUCCAAGGAAAACCUUGAAGAUAAUCCAUGAAGAGGAAGAGCUAAAUAAAGUGCAAUAAAUGCUUUUCACAAGAUUUGAUAAUUUUUUUAUUGAUGUAUACUGUAGGCCAAUUCUUUAUUUUAUUAUGCAAAGACAAGUUCUUCAAUUUACAAACAA